GCCACGCCGCGUGAGGGAGAAGGCCUUCGGGUUGUAAAGCUCUUUUUGAGGGAGGAAAGAGGCGGUACCCGUAUGACAUUGCAGGGACCCUAAGAAUAAGGCCCGGCUAAUUCCGAGCCAGCCGCCGCGGUAAU
rnacentral:rRNA from 1 species